rnacentral:sRNA from 1 species
GUGCGUUAGGGAUGGAAGCGGCAUCCUUUUUUACGUCAGUUCGAGUGUUUCGCUUUUGAGUGAAAUGUAUCGAGAACAAGUAAAAAAGAUACAGCGGACAGCCCGACUCUAU